rnacentral:lncRNA from 1 species
AACCACUGAUAAUUCACUCUGAAAACACAAAAUCUUUAACAUGGAGAGCAAGAAGAGCGCUUUGAUGCUACUACUAGCCCUGUUUGUCAUCUCUGCUAUGAUAGCGGCACCAGUGGCCGAAGCCCGAGAGCUCACCUCUACACAUGCUGAUGACAAGAACCUCAGCAACAUUCUUCUGGCCUAUGGCCGCGAUCAACUGUUCAAAUAUGCAUUCCAGCUCGAGGGCGCUUCGACAGCUAACUGCAUUGGCUAUUACUGCCUCUACACCAGCUGUUGCUCCGGCUGUCAAUGCGUUACUUCGUAUGAUGAGGUGCCGAUCCCUGCUUAUUGUGAGACUUCCUGCAAGGCCAGCACCUGAAGUGCUAGCUAGCAUUUGCUGGGAUUUGCAUGCAUGCAAAACGAAUAAUUGAAUAAAGUAGAUCGCGUUUAUUAUGUGUGAACGUACGUGUAUGCUAAUGUUACAGUCGAUCUGGCUGUGUGUAUCCCUUUUAUUCCGUUCAAUCUCAGUUUACCUCUCUGUGUUUGGUUUAAUUUUGUUUCCCCAGUUAAUUUGAUCGACCUGAACGCACGAAUUCAUUUGAUUUUAAUUAUCUAUAAGGUUGAUAUCAGCGAUGAUGAUAAUAAUACAAUAAGUUUUUUUCUUUUUUGUUAAAAAGAAAUCAAUCCAUUAAUCAAAAGCCACACGGCAUCGAAAAAUAUAAUCGAAAUCGGACAGACACGCUGAAUUAUAUCGCUGUUGAAUCCAACCUUCUUGGGGAGACAACUAAACGAUUUAAAUAUAUGUACUCGUUUUCAUCUGAUUGGUUUUCACCCGAUUGGCUUUCACCUGACUCUUUUGAACAAUCGACUAUAGAUGCGAUUUCAUAAUAACCUUCAAACCUGAAUCAAACCCAUAUAAAUCAUGCCGAUCUAUAACCUCGGUCAUGGAGAAUAUCAAAACUGACAAAACACACCAAAACAAAAACCAACUCUCACAAGAAAGAAGGAGAGACUAACAAAACUCAAAUAAAUUGAGAACUUAUUGAGAGGAAAACAAGAUUUCAAAUAAGAAACGGAAAAAAAAUCGGGGCUUUCCACUGACGAAAACCGAUGAAAACCCUCUUAAAAAACUUUAAUGGAGGCUAGGGGUCUGAGAGGGAGAGAGAGGGAGAGUAAUACAAUAAGUUAAUGAUUUACUCCGUUCAACUCUAUGGACUCUAUGAAAAUCAUUAUUUAAAUAAAAAUCUUGAAAAAGCAUAUAUGCAUGUUUGUGUAAGUAAUACAUUAUUGCAAAGCAUCAAUUGGACAUUUUGCAAAAUGUAUAAAAAGUUUAAAUUUUUUACCGAAAUAGCACUAUUCAUAUACUCUUUCCGUCCCAUUUUAGUUGUCACAUUUGGUUUUGUGCCGGUCAAAUUGACCAAAGUUUGAUUUAAAUUUAUUAAUAUUUUAUCAAUUGAAAAAAUGAAAAAAAAUAUGUUAUCGAAAAUUAUUUUUAAUCUACUUUAAGAUGUAAUUUUCAGUUUUUUAAAAUAAUGAAGGAGUGACUUGUAAUCUUCGGUCAAAAAUUAGUCAAUUUGACCAACAAAAAAGGAAAUGUGACAACAAAAAUGGGACGGAGGGAGUAACAUAUUUUGCAAAAUUACGAUAACAAAAUCAAUAUACUUAUAUAAAGGAGAAGCAUGGGGCGUGGCGCCUCUCUAAUUGCUCCGUCCUAUUUUUCUAUUUUUCUAGAAAUUUUUGGAUGAAAAAUAUCAUAAAUAAAAACUAAAUCAUGACAUAAAUUAAUCUGAUUCUAUUUCAUAUUAUUUAUGGAAUAUAGCAGCUUGCAAGUUUUUUAAUCUGAUUCUGUUUCAGAUUAUUUGGUAGAAAUUAAUCUGAUUCUGUUUUAGAUUAUUUAUGUAAUAUAGUAACUUGCAAGUUUUUUAAUCUGAUUAUGUUUCAGAUUAUUUAAUUAUGGAAAAUCAUCGAUCAUCAAUCAUCAAUAUAAUUAUAUAAAGGAGAACCAUGUGGCCAUGUGGCGUGUGGGUGGCGUCUCUCUAAUUGCUCCGUCCUAUUUUUCUAAUUUUCUAAUUUUCUGAAAUUUUUAAAUGAAAACUAUCAAAAAUAAAAAGUAUAUUUUGACUUAAAUUAAUCUGAUUUUGUUUCAGAUUAUUUAUGAAAUAUAGUAGCUUGCAAGUUUUUUAAUCUGAUUCUGUUUCAGAUUAUUUGGCAUAAAUUAAUCUGAUUCCGUUUUAGAUUAUUUAUGUAAUAUAGUAGCUUGCAAGUUUUUUUAAUCUGAUUCUGUUUUAGAUUAUUUAAUUAUUUAAUUAUGGAAAAUAGUAGCACACAAGUCUCUCUGCACCUAUAAAUACCCCUAUAGGUUGUAGGGUUUUAGAUCAUCUAAACACAACAUACUCUCUCUUUCUAUACCACGAUCCCCCGUUUUAUCCUAGGAAGCUAUCGUUCUACACAUACGGUGAGGAGGCGAAUAUGAUUUAUAAACAAUUUUUCUUUGCCUAUUUAUCUUCUCCAUCUAAUACAAUAAUGAGUUACACUAUGAUAGAUGUUUGAAUGGCGAUAGAGAUGAUUGAUUGACGAGAGUAAGAGCUUGUCAGAUGUGGUAGUAGACUGCUAUCUCAUGAAUUUAAAUUGAUGUUUUUGCGGAUAACUAAUCCAAAAAAAUUGGAGGAAGGAGUCACUAAGAUACACCUGCAUAGAUUGGAAUUCAAACGUCCCGACAUGAUUAAUGUUCCUAUAACUUGGACAUAAUGUUCAUCCCUAUUAAAACUGGAGAUGGUUUCGGAGUUGCAUCUCAAUAUCUUUUUGACUUUUACGCACUUAUGUUCUUGGAAGCUUACUGCAUGUUUUAUUGGUCAAUCAAUGUAUAUGGCUACAUGUCAUCAAUCAAUCUAUUAAAGAGCCGUAUGCUUUUUACAUGUAGGGCAUGUUGUAACAAUUUUAGCGAAAUACAUGACUACUUUAAAAAAACAUACAACUAAAAUUAACAUUCGUUAUGCUUUAAAUCGUUAAUUAUAUGUAAAAAAUUAUUUUCAUUUUUUCACUCAUGAAUUAUAGUCCAAUUUUUUAAUUUUAUAUAUUAAUAUUAGUAUUGUAUCGAGAUGUUUAUAAUAUAAAAUUUAUUUUAUUCUACAAAUAUUAAUUUUAAAUCAUUAAUAUAAUUUUUAUAGAUUUCCACAUAUUUAUUUAUCUUACAAAUACUAAUUUUGAAUCGUUAAUAUAAUUUUUAUAGACCGCCGCAACGCGCGAUUUUUCAACCAGGUAUAAACUAAUUUGCAAUAUUUUGAGCACAGAACAUUUAAAUAUCCGAGGUCUUCGACAAAAAGAGGCCUCCGUAUACUUUACUCAACCGACUCUCUAGUAUUAUUAAUCGGGUUUUAGAUGGCAAAAUCAUCGAUAUACUUAUAUAAAGGAGAAGCGAGGGGCGUGUAGGUGGCGCCUCUCAUAUCGCUCCGUUCUAAUUUUUUAAUUUUCUGGAAUUUUUGGAUGAAAAUAUCAAAAAUAUAGAACUACUUUUUUUAGUUUCGGGUAUAUUAGAAGCAAGUUUCAGAAUCUGAUUUUGUUUCAGAUUAUUUAUGGAAUAUAUUAGCUUGAAAGUUUUAAUCUGAUUUUGUUUCAGAUUAUUUAAUUAUGGGAAAGAGUAGCACACAAGUCUCUCUACACCUAUAAAUACCCUAUAGAUUGUAGGGUUUUGGAUCACCUAAACACAACCUCCUCUUUCUCAAUACCACAUCGCUCCGUUCUAUUUUUCUAAUUUUCAGGAAUUUUUGGAUGAAAAAUAUCAAAAAUUAGAACUACCUUUUUAAGUUUCGGGUAUAUUAGAAACAAGUUUCAGAAUCUGAUUUUGUUUCAGAUUAUUUAUGGAAUAUAGUAGCUUGAAAGUUUUGAUCUGAUUUUGUUUCAGAUUAUUUAGUUAUAGAAAAGAGUAGCACACAAGUCUCUCUGCACCUAUAAAUACCCCUAUAGAUUGUAGGGUUUUGGAUCAUCUAAACACAACCUCCUCUCUAUCAAUACCACAAUCCUACCUCUCCCUGAUGAUAGUUCUCUUGCUCGAUGUCUAACUUGGUGGUGCCGUUUCUUCCGCAACGAUAAGUGAAGGCUGUUUAUACAGUAUUAAAAAAAUAAAGGUUGUUGCAAGCAAAUGUAGUUAUAGACCGCUAUGUUGGAGUCGGCAAAUCCAAACACGGGAAAAAAAUAUAGUCUUGACAUGAUAUUGAUUGAUGAUAUCAAUAAAUUAAUUGUUAGUGAUGUAUGUUUGUUGGUUAUUAUUUUAUAAUAUUUGUUUUGUUCUUCAGACAUGUUUGUUGUUUUUAAUUUUUAUAUAAUUUACUUUGUAUAUUAUAGGAAAAAAAUUAUUAUGCAUUAUCUAUUUGCUCUGUUCAAGCAACUUUUAAGUGAAGACUGUUUAUACAGUAUUAAUAUAUAAAAGUUGUUACAAGUAAGGGUAGUUAUAGACCGCUAUCUCACAGAUUUAAGUUAGAUAUUUUUGUGUACAAUCAAUCAAAAAAAAUUGGAGUAAGGUGACAAUGUAAGAACAUGAUUACUUUUAUAAAACAAACACAAAUGAAAUUAAGAUUCAUCGUGCUUUAAAUUGUUAAUUACGUGUAUAAAUUUAUUUUCAUUUUUUCACCAUGAAUCAUAGUCCAAUUUUACAAUUUUAUAUAUUAGUAUUGGUAUUACAUCACGAUUUUAUAAUAUAAAAUUUAUUUUAUCCUACGAAUAUUAAUUUUAAAACAUUAAUAUACUUUUUAUAGAUAGUCACAAAAUUAUUUUAUUCUAAAAAUAUUAAUAUUAAAUUAUUAUUAUAAUUUUUAUAGACCGCCGCAACGCGCGGCUUCUCAACUAGUAUGAUUAUAUAAAUAAAACAAGUCAAAAUGUGGUUCAGUCAUCAGUGUGGCUCUUUCACGUUUCUAACCACUUUGAACAUCUAUUUUUCAAAAUUAACCACCUGUUUUUGCACUUUGCAGAAAUGACCACCUAUAUCCGGUCUCUCGGACGGAUACUACUAGCAUUUCUGUCCGACCCUCACCUGGGCGGACAAAACUGUCUCUUUUCUUUUCAAUAUAGUUAUUUAGAAGUCUUGUAAUUUUAUGUGAAAAUAAUAUUAUAUAAUAUAUUAUUAUAACAAAUAAUGUUAUAUCUAAAUAAUAUUAUAUAAUAUCAAAUGAUAUUAUAUAAAAUUAGUAUUAUACAAUAUCAAAUAAUAUUAUAUUAUAAUAUUAUAUUGUAACAAAUAAUUAUAUUAUUUUCUCAAAAUAUAUUAUUGUAUUAUUAUUUUGAGGUAUUAUAUUAUAAUAUAAUAUCAUUUGAUAUAUUACAUUAUAUUAUUUGAUAUAAUAUUAAAUUAUUUGAGAUAUUAUUAUUUUUCUAUUUUUUAUUGUUCGAUCAAAAAAUAAAGAAUAACUAUAUUUUUUAUUUUUUAUGUUUAUUAUAUUAUUAUAUAAUAUUAUUAAAAUUAAAAAGAUAUUAUAUAAUCCUGGAACCCUGAAAUUCUUAAAAUUAUGGUAUCAAAAGUGAAUAAAAAAAUAUGAUACAAGGUCACAAUUAACAUUGUGUUUAUAAAUAUUAUUCAGUAAACAUUAUUAUAAUAUAUAUAAUAUAGCGAUAAUACCUUGUACUCGAUUUUGUAGUCGCCAAUUUGAGAAUAUACACCUUAACUUCGGUUAUACCAGAAGAUCGAGUGGGUAUAGCAAAAGGUCCAGAUGAUUUCAGAGAGGUUAUUUUAUGAUUUUAAUAAAAAUCUAUUAAAAUAUUUGAAAGUCAUGAAUUUAUGAUAAAAAGUCUGUUAAAGUUUUUAAAAAUUAUUGCCUUAGGAGUCAGGAAAUUUUUUUUGAAAUUUUAAGAAGCCAAUAAGAGUCAUUAAAAGUCUAUAAAAUCCAUUAAAGUCAUCCUCGCAAAAUUUGUCAUUAAGUCAUGAUACAAUACCACCCCUAAGUUUAUGCGUCAGUUAAGGACAAAACCGACACUAGAAAUGGUUUUAAGCGACGGUUUUUAAUAUAAGCGACGCUAAAGAGCCGUUGCAAAAGGCAUUUUCCUUAUUAGUGGGAUCAAUAGGUUUAGCUUAUUGAGAGCAUCUCCAACGGUGUUGGCUAAAAAGUGGUUGGCUAAAUUGGAUCGGUAAGAUAUUAGAUAAAAUUUGUCGAAGAUGUAAGCCAUUUUGCUUCGACGGUACUGGCUAUAUUUCAGAAAUAGUUAGUUAUUAUUAUUUCAAAUUGUUAUAAAUAGAAUGUAUAUUAUAAUAUGGUAAUAAAUAAUACAAAAUCUUGCUACAGAUAUUGCUACAGGUCUGUAGUUGAUUGCCAAAUAUGGCCAAUAUCAAUUGGUUGGAUAUAUUUUUAGACAAGGGUUAUGUGUCGCGGAGUGAAGCAAAUUUCACACAUUAUCUAUAAUUUUUAUUUAUGAUAUAAUUUAAUGAAUUUUAGUUAAGGGUUUUGAUGGGUUGAAAAUACUCUCGGAGCUAUAUAUCAAGAACCCUAAUACUCCACGUGUAUGAAUUGCAUUGUCAUAAUCUAUAUACUUACAUGCAAAAUCGUGUUGUUGUAACGGAGCAUAUAACUUUUGAUUAAAUUUUCUUCCGAAGAUGUUGAAAUACCUAUUAUUCAAAGAAAGACUAAUGAAACAGAUGAAAAUAUGAUAAUCAAAAGUAAAGCUUGAGUUUGAAAUAGAAGAAGAUGCCUAUAUAUAGGUUUUACAAAGCAUAUGCUGGAAAAGAUGGAUUAGGUAUAUAAAGAGUAAAAUGCAUAAGGAUAAUUCUGGAGAAAUUUUAGAUAGACUAUUUGUAUGUGCUUGUGAAGAAAGGCGUGUGACUGAUAAACGAGAUGAUAAUGUAAAACAACACCUUCCAUAAACUAGAUUGGUUGCAAGGCAAAUUAAAUUGGUGUCUCUUCUGGAUCAAAUGGGAAAUACAAAUUAUUGAAUUCAUAUCUGAGAAUUGCGGCAUUAAACCGCUGUGCUACAUAAACGUGAUCAAAAGAAAGGGGAAAUUAGUAUAUGGACCCUUGCUCAUAGUACGUCUGGUUGUUGGCUCAUUACUCCAUCACUUUUAGUGCACUACCUGUUUUUCCUAAUACUAAGCCGCUGACAUUAAAUUCCCAUGCAAAUUUGAGAAUCCUUUGCUCACACAUUCGCCUAUAGAAGGAAUGUUCUUCCAACUGCUUUGACACAAAUAUCCACCACUGAUAAUCCACUGCGAAAACACAUAAUCCAUAACAUGGAGAGCAAGAAGAGCGCCUUGAUGCUACUACUAGCCCUGUUUGUCAUCUCUGCUAUGAUAGCGGCACCAGUGGCCGAAGCCCGAGAGCUCACCUCUACACAUGCUGAUGACAAGAACCUCAGCAACAUUCUUCUGGCCUAUGGCCGCGACCAACUGUUCAAAAAUGCAUUCCAGCUCGAGGGCCUUUCGACAAGCUGCAUUGGCUAUUUCUGCCUCUACACCAGCUGUUGCGCGGGCUGUCAAUGCGUUACUUCGUAUGCUGAUGUGCCCAUCCCUGCUUAUUGUGAGACUUCCUGCAAGGACAGCACCUGAAGUGCUAGCUAGCAUUUGCUGGGAUUUGCAUGCAUGCAAAACGAAUAAUUGUAAUUGAAUAAAUAGAUCGCGUGUGUUAUGUGUGCACGUACGUGCAUGAUAAUGUGACAGUCGAUCUGGCUGCUGUGUGUAUCUCGCAUUCGUUUACGCGAAUGCAGGGCGUUUCCCUUAAUUUUAUUCCGUUCAAUCCCAGUUAAUCUCUCUGUGUUUGGUUUAAUUUGGUUUCAGCAGUUAAUUUUCGUGGACAUAACUUCUAAUUUCUUGAUUAUGUUGUAUGACUUCGUUUAUAAAUUGAUUAUAUUUUGUUUAUAAUUUUAUAAUGCAUUAUUCUCUAUGUUGGUUCUGAUUACUUGAUUUCAGUUUUACAGGUUCGAUACCAAAUUUGUUUCAAUAUUUCACGAAAACAUACUUUCACAUGUUAAACUUGGAGUUGUUUUCUCACUUUCAAAUGAAACCGUUGAGAUAUUUUUAUAUCUAAUUAGCUUAUAACCCGUGCGGUGAUUUAUAACCUUUGUAAUUUAUCGACUAUAUUUUAAAUUUAAUUGAAAUACAAAUCAAUCAUACAUUUUUAAAUGUUUUGACUUAAUUGAUAAUAAAAAAAAUUAUUAGAACACGUUAUAUAUUAAGGUGAACCGUAAAAUAAUACCAAUACCGACCGGCUGAUAAAACUCGAACGACCAAUAAAAUUAUUAAUAUUUUAGUUUAAAUAAAAUAAUAAUAAUAAUAAUAAUAAUAAUAAUAAUAUAUUUUUGGCAAAAAAUAAUAAUAAUAUAUAGUAUAGUAUAACUAGAUAGUAUAGAUCUAUUAUAUUAUUUUUAAAGUGAUAACAUGUAGUAAUUAAAAAUAAUAUUAAUGUAUUUAGUUGAAAAUAUCAUCAGUUGUGUACUAAUAAUUAUAUAUAAUAGUAAUAUACUGUAUAUUUUUGUAAGGAUAAUAUUAUCUUUUUUUUAUAUGUAUGUUUUUAGAAUUGGAGACCUCAAAAAUAAUAUAAAGAUACUUAUUAUUUUAGAUAGGAAGAAAUUGAGGGUUCCGAUGAUUACUAGAACAAGCUAUUUCUCUUUUGUGCUUAUUUCUUGAGUUUGAACUCACUAUUUAUAGGCCUUCUUAGUAUCAUCUCCACACCUAUAAAAUAUAUAACCGCCCCUUGAUCAUAUCCAUGUAGUUAAUAAAAAGAUUGUAACUCCUACAAUUUUAACUCAUACAAUAAAUAUCAAUAUUAAUAAUAAGAUUUCUAACUUACCAUCCACAUAUUUUACAAAUCCUUUUAAAUUAAUUCUUUAUAUAUUUAUUAAUGAAGUCAACAUUACAACAUCUCCACUUGACUUAAUUAAUAAAUAUCUAUCUAACUCCCACUUUUCCCACAUAUUACAAAAUAUGUCAUAAAUAUAUAAUUUCGAUUAUUUAAUCAAUAAUUUUCAACAUCAAUCUUCAAAACAAAUUUGGGCUCAUAACUACCCAUCAUUUCAAUAUCAACAUCAACUUCAAAACAAAUUUGGGCUCACAACUACUCAUUAUUACAAUAAUAAAAACGCUCAUGUUCGAGCUUAUACCAACUACCCAUUAUUCCCGAACUUGCAACACACUUCACAAUUUAAAUAACUCGUGAUCGGGCUCAUAUAUGCCCAUCGCAUACACCUUUUUAUCCUUCCCAAUUGAAACCCGGUUAUUGUAAAAACGCACCUCCAACCCAUAUUUCAAAAGUGCGGGAACAACAACAAGAUUACGCCUCAUGCCUGGAGCAAGCAUUAUAUUCUUGAGAACCAUCACACUAUCCUCAAGAUCCAACCUGUAUGUAUAAAUUCUUACCACGUCCAGGUUGGUAUUAUUGCCCAUGAAGAUUCUUUGCUCUCCCUUCUUCAAUUCUUGAUACUCAAUCAAAUUAUUUUUAGUCUUUGCAAUAUGGCGGAUUGCACCAGAGUCAAUCCACCAUCCAUCAAUGUCUGUAGCAACAUGACCAUUGCACUCAAUAAAUCCCACAAACUCACGUUUAUUUGGUCUUUUCUGUUCUUGGACUUUCUCAUCAACUUCUUCUUGAUUUUGGAUACAAUCAUUCUUAAAGAGUCGAUACUUUCCACAAUUAUAACAACUUCCAAGAGGAAAAUUCGUCUUUUGUUGGCGUGGCUUAAAAAAUCUUCCUUUUGAAGGGCCACUACAGAAAAAGCGGUCAUUUUCGAACGCCAAAUUCUGGUCGAAAAUGACUAUUUUCGACCGUCCUCGGUCCUCGGUUGAAAAUAGUUAUUUUCGACCGCAACACGACCGGUCGAAUUUAAUCUAGUCGAAAAUAACUUCCGGUCGAAAAUAUUUAAAGUCGACCGCUAUAUUCGACCGUCCUUUUCGCCCAAAAAUUUGUUUUCCGUGAAAAUUUGAACUUCUCGCUCAAAUUUUUUAAAGAAAUUGAGUUUCCCGUCAUAUAUAAUAUUUUCGACCGAUAAAGGUCGAAGUUAUUAAACCUUUAAAUUUGAAUUUUGGUUGAAAUAAACAUACUAUUUUCAAAGCCGGUCGAAUUUAUUAAACCAUUAAAAAAAACUAGUAGUCGAAAUUAACAGACCAUUAUUUGAUGUGGUCGAAAUUAAUAAGUCAUAAUAUAAAAUUUGCAGUUCCAUGGCUUCUACUUACCUGUUCAAACCCAAAAUACCAAACUACAUACAAAAUAACAAUAAAAAAAUACAUAGAUAUUUAAAGCCAAAUUACCAACAUAAAAAUACCCAACUACAUUUAAACCCGUUGAUCAUCCAUCCACCAAAAAAGGGGUUAUAAUUCAUUCACUUGCCUACUAACCCUUUAACCAAAAAUACGAAAGUCCAAAUUCACAAACAAGUUACUACAAAUACUGUUGCUAAUCUAAAGAGGGUAUAAAAACGCAUUUACAUCAUAAUCAUCUUCGUAUGGAUUAUUCUCUACGCUAACAGCCUCCUUCUCCUUACCCUCUAACUGCUGCUGCUCCUUCCCCUUUCCCUAUAACUGAUGCUGACUGACCUGAGGCUGACCAAGUAGAUAUAAGUGAGGAUCAUAAAAACAAGAUAAAUUAUACAACUAGCAGAAUAACAAUCAAGCUUAAAUAUUAGUUGCCAUCCACUAGGAGGGAGCACAAUACAUUGUUCAGUAAACUUUUAUCUUCUCAUAGCUUUACCACAUGCAAUACAUAUUAAAUGCAAGAAAAAGAAGAGCUCGACAUCAAGAAGACAAUUUUACAAUCGAGCAUCACUACAAGGUUGAUAUAUUUAUUGUUGUGCCAGACUCUCAAUUACAAGAACUAAAUAGCAGAUUCAAUGAAUAAACAGUUGAGUUGCUUGUUUUAAGUACAACUUUAGAUCCAAAAGAGAUGCAGGAAUCAUUGAGGAUUGAUGAUAUCCUAAAGUUAGUUAAGAAAUUUUACCCGCAAGAUUUUGCUGAUGGCUCAAUUAAGGAUGCAAUUUGAGCAUUUUGAUUAUGAACGACAACAUCAAACAUUUGGAAAUUUGUCAACAAUUUCAUAUUUGUCUCAAUGGACACUUGUGUAUAGGGUGGUAGCUCUUAAUCUAACACUUCCCAUUUUCACAGCUACUACAGAGCGAUCUUUUUCAGCCAUGAGUUUCGUUAAAAACAAGUUUCGAAAUAAAAUGCAUGAUGAAUAUCUCACUGAUUGUCUCAUGCAUAUUGUAUCUUGAAAAAGAAAUUGCUCGUCCUAUUAGCGUGGAUUCUAUUAUAGGUGAUUUUCAUGACUUAAAAGAGCGAAGAUCUCUAUUUUGAUGUAGUACUAAUGAUAAUAUUUUGUUCUUUUGUAAGAAAUUUUUUUAGCUCCCAUUAUAGUUUUGGUCUGCGUCCGCCCCGGUGACAUUCAUGAUAAUGCUUUAAUCAAAUUUGUUUGAACACCAAAUAUAACAAAUCUAGCAAGGCUGCAAGGUGGUGUGCGUGCAGUGCAAUUGCCAUGAGUCUUCGACACAAGAAGGGUAGCUGGAUACAGUCAAAACCAGAUUGUGGUGGUUGCUAUAACCUAUAGGACAUCCUCCACCAACGAAUCUAACUCGGGAAAACAAAUUAAUGCCUUUGUUAACAUGUACUCCCUACCUGGAUAGUAUAGAUAGGGACGGUAACGCGGCACGAAAUUUAAUACUCUUGUAAAGUUUAGUUGUGUAAUUUAUUUUUAUUUUUUUCUGAAUUAAAAUUUGGAUGUUAAAUUUUUAGAAGAAAAAAAAUCUAGAAAAUAAGUUACGGAAUUAUAUUUUAUAAGAGUAUUGAAAUGCGUGUCGAGCAGUUUAAAGAGAAACGUAUAAAAUUAAACUGGACAGAGGGAUAAUAAUCAGAGCAUCUUGAUCCGUGUCAACUUAAGAUUUUAUAUUAAACCUGUGCUUGUUUGUGCAAACCUGUCAUAUAAAUCCGAAUCAGUGUAUUGGUACAGUAUACAAGUUAUAAACCCAAACGAGCUUAUUUGUAUAUAAACGUGAUCAAAGGAAAGGGAAAAUUAUUAUAUGCAUGGACCCUUGCUGAAAUGUACGUCUGCCUGCUGGUUGUUGGCUCAUUACUCCGUCACCUUUAGUUUACCACCUAUUUUUCUAGUACUAAGCCGCUGACAUUAAAUUCCCAUGCAAAUUUUAGAAUCCUUUGCUCACACAUUCGCCUAUAAAAGGAAUGUUCUUCCAACUGCUUUGACACAAACAACUACCACUAAUAAUUCACUGCAAAAACACAUAAUCUAUAACAUGGAGAGCAAGAAGAGUGCCUUGAUGCUACUACUAGCCCUGUUUGUCAUCUCUGCUAUGAUAGCGGCACCCGUGGCCGAAGCCCGAGAGCACACCUCUACACAUGCUGAUGACAAGAACCUCAGCAACAUUCUUCUGGCCUAUGGCCGCGAUCAACUGUUCAAAAAUGCAUUCCAGCUCGAGGGCCUUUCGACAAGCUGCAUUGGCUAUUACUGCCUCUACACCAGCUGUUGCGCGGGCUGUCAAUGCGUUACUUCGUAUGAUGAUGUGCCCAUCCCUGCUUAUUGUGAGACUUCCUGCAAGGACAGCACCUGAAGUGCUAUCUAGCAUUUGCUGGGAUUUGCAUGCAUGCAAAACGAAUAAUUGAAUAAAGUAGAUCGCGUGUGUUAUGUGUGCACGUACGUGCAUGAUAAUGUUACAGUCGAUCUGGCUGUGUGUAUCCCGCAUUCGUUUAGGCGAAUGCUGUGCGUUUCCCUUUUAUUCCACUCAAUCUCAGUUUAUCCCUCUGUGUUUGGUUUAGUUUUGUUUCACCAGUUAAUUUGAUCUACCUAAACGCACGAAUUCAUUUAAUUUUGAUUAU